CAAUUACCUGACUACCUUGGAGCAGACUCUACAGCCAUCUACCCUGAAAUGCUCAAAUGACUGAUGGCUCAUCUCUAUCAACACCAUUGAAGCUCUCUGCUGAAUGUGCACAUCACAAGUUCAUGCACAUCUCUGGGCAAGAAACAAGGACCGUAGUCAAGACAAGCCACUGAAAACAGUUUGCAAAUGGGGCCAUUUCCACAGUUGCAUCCGAGAUACAGAAAAACCAUAGAGAAUGUGGAUGUGAAGGAUGACCUCAUGCCACGGAUGCACAGAUAAAAAUUCAGCCUGGGAAGGGAAAGAGAAAAAGAGGCUUGGAUACACCAUGCACAAAACCAUC
ensembl:antisense Gm15984 predicted gene 15984